GGCGCACGGCUGCGGGGCGCUCCCGGCCGGCGGUCGACUCCCGUCCUCCCGCUCGGCGCUCAGGGGUCCUCCUUUUGCUCGCGAUGGUUGGCGCACGCUCGGCGACAUGUGCUGCUGCUGUCGCUUGCAUCAGCUGCUUCCCCACCGCUGCCCCCUCCUGAGCAGUCCGCAGGUUAAAAUGCUGCUAGGUGUUGUGCUGAGGAUUUGUGUGCAGUCAACGAGAAUGCAAGCAGCAUGGUUCAAUUCAAUACAAUCUGUUAAGAUAACUGGAGAGCAUACGUUGGUGGCUGUACAAAAAUACAAUGGGGUGGAGCUACCAGAAAGUGUCAUCUUACUUUAGUUCAACUUCAAGAUGAACUACAGUUGACCUUCAGUCUAGGUUAUACUGAGCUUGUGUACAGUUUCAGAUGACAAGUUGACUAGCUGGUGAGCCGUCAUGUACACAAGGAGUUCUAGAAUUUUAAGUAAUCUGUCAUAUGAGGUUCUCUCUAGAUCUAAGAAGAUAUAUAUUUAGUAGAGAACUCAUUUGUUCCUUUUAUUGCAAUAGUUCAAAGGUGGUAACAGAAACAUACAAGUCUGUAUGUACAAGUUGUAAACAACAUGUAUAUGAAAGUAUAAAACUAUCCUACAAAUUGGAUUUGUUGUAAUCAUGGAUGCGGACCUACGUGUGUAUAUUAUUUUCUUAUCUCUUUUGGCUGUUUUAAAAAAUUGUAAUCACGCA